GGGCAUGUAACUCAGUGGUAGAGUACUUGCCUAGUAUAUGCAAGGCCCUGGGUUCGAUCCUCAGCAUCCCCA
rnacentral:tRNA from 1 species